UACGUAGGGUGCGAGCGUUGUCCGGAAUUACUGGGCGUAAAGAGCGCGUAGGCGGCACGGUACGACCGGUGUGAAAGCCCCCGGCUCAACUGGGGAGGGUCACCGGUAACGGCCGAGCUAUGAGUGCAGGAGAGGGAAGUGGAACUCCGGGAGUAGCGGUGAAAUGCGUAGAGACCCGGAGGAACACCAGUGGCGAAGGCGGCUUCCUGGUCUGCAACUGACGCUGUGGCGCGAAAGCUAGGGGAGCAAACGGG
rnacentral:rRNA from 1 species